rnacentral:rRNA from 1 species
UACGGAGGAUGCGAGCGUUAUCCGGAUUUAUUGGGUUUAAAGGGUGCGUAGGCGGACUGGAAAGUCAGCGGUAAAAUCGAGAGGCUCAACCUCUUUCCGCCGUUGAAACUGUCGGUCUUGAGUGGGCGAGAAGUACGCGGAAUGCGCGGUGUAGCGGUGAAAUGCAUAGAUAUCGCGCAGAACUCCGAUUGCGAAGGCGACCUGCUAGAACAUAACUGACGCUGAUGCGCGAAAGCGUGGGUAUCGAACAGG